rnacentral:rRNA from 1 species
CAGCUGCAACUCGACUGCGUGAAGGUGGAGUCGCUAGUAAUCGCGGAUCAGCAACGCCGCGGUGAAUGCGUUCCCGGGCCUUGUACACACCGCCCGUCAAGUCAUGAAAGUGGGCAGCACCCGAAGACGGUGGCCUAACCCUUGUGGGGGGAGCCGUCUAAGGUGAGGCUCGUGAUUGGGACUAAGUCGUAACAAGGUAGC